CCUACGGGAGGCAGCAGUGAGGAAUAUUGGUCAAUGGACGAGAGUCUGAACCAGCCACGUAGCGUGAAGGAUGACUGCCCUAUGGGUUGUAAACUUCUGUUAUAAAGGAAUAAAACGAGGCACGUGUGCCUUUUUGCAUGUACUUUAUGAAUAAGGAUCGGCUAACUCCGUGCCAGCAGCCGCGGUAAUACGGAGGAUCCGAGCGUUAUCCGGAUUUGUUGGGUUUAAAGGGAGCGUAGAUGGGUUGUUAAGUCAGUUGUGAAAGUUUGCGGCGCAACCGGAAAAUUGCAAUUGAUACUGGCAGUCUUGAGUACAGUUGAGGUAGGCGGAAUUCGUGGUGUAGCGGUGAAAUGCUUAGAUAUCACGAAGAACCCCGAUUGCGAAGGCAGCUUACUAAACUGUGACUGACAUUGAUGCUCGAAAGUGUGGGUAUCAAACAGGAUUAGAUACCCGAGUAGUC
rnacentral:rRNA from 1 species